rnacentral:rRNA from 2 species
UGGCUCAGGAUGAACGCUGGUGGCGUGCCUAAUACAUGCAAGUCGAGCGAAUGGAUUGAGAGCUUGCUCUCAAGAAGUUAGCGGCGGACGGGUGAGUAACACGUGGGUAACCUGCCCAUAAGACUGGGAUAACUCCGGGAAACCGGGGCUAAUACCGGAUAACAUUUUGAACYGCAUGGUUCGAAAUUGAAAGGCGGCUUCGGCUGUCACUUAUGGAUGGACCCGCGUCGCAUUAGCUAGUUGGUGAGGUAACGGCUCACCAAGGCAACGAUGCGUAGCCGACCUGAGAGGGUGAUCGGCCACACUGGGACUGAGACACGGCCCAGACUCCUACGGGAGGCAGCAGUAGGGAAUCUUCCGCAAUGGACGAAAGUCUGACGGAGCAACGCCGCGUGAGUGAUGAAGGCUUUCGGGUCGUAAAACUCUGUUGUUAGGGAAGAACAAGUGCUAGUUGAAUAAGCUGGCACCUUGAC